AUGUGCAGACUCCGCUGGAAUUGGCUUAACUCCGUGUGCGCACACCUGUGGAUGAAGAGCCAGAGUCCCCCAAGGUCAAUGCUGCUGGCCAGUGGCCUGGUGUCUGCAUUAACAGAACAUCUGCAACGCCCUCAAAGCCCAUGGCCACUUGUGGAAAGAAGAAACCUGGUGGCCUUGGCCUGGGAAUAUGGCGGUUCCAAGCACAAUGCUGUACUGAAAUGGUACCAGAAGACAGAAGGUUACGCGGCUAGACCAUGCCAUGAAGGAAGAUCCCUUGAUUACAGCCUCCCCAGCCCAUCAGCCACACUGCCAAGGACAUGGGAAAGAAUAAGAAGCCAGAGGGAGACAGCUGCCAGCAGGAGGUUUAGCAUAAAGAAGAUAGGAAUGGUAAUGAGAAAUUGA
rnacentral:lncRNA from 1 species